rnacentral:rRNA from 1 species
AUUGAACGCUGGCGGCAGGCCUAACACAUGCAAGUCGAACGAGUGGCGGACGGGUGAGUAAUGUCUGGGAAACUGCCUGAUGGAGGGGGAAAACUACUGGAAACGGUAGCUAAUACCGCAUACCAUCAGAUGUGCCCAGAUGGGAUUAGCUAGUUGGUGGGGUAACGGCUCCCCAAGGCGACGAUCCCUAGCUGGUCUGAGAGGAUGACCAGCCACACUGGAACUGAGACACGGUCCAGACUCCCACGUGGGUCAGCAGUGGGGAAUAUUGCACAAUGGGCGCAUGCCUGAUGCAGCCAUGCCGCGUGUAUGAAGAGGGCCUUCGGGUUGUAAAGUACUUUCCGCGGGGAGGCGUUACCCGCAGAAGAAGCACCGGCUAACUCCGUGCCAGCCGCCGCGGUAAUAC